AUGCCUGUGAGUUAUGCAAACCUGAAAAACUCUGAUUGGGAGUUCAUUGUGAGUAAAUACCUGAAGAGAUUCGAGACCUGGAUAGGUAAUGCGGCUUCGAUGGGUGGGAGACAUACCCUGCUAGAUUCCGUGGUUACACAAAUCUCUCUGUAUCAUAUGUCGAUGUGGCUUAUGAAUAAAACUUUUAUUGAGAAACUGGAUAAACACAGAAGGAGAUUCUUCUGGCAAGGGUGUAAUAAUAAAAGGAGAUACCACCUUAUGAGAUGGAGUAGAAUUUGCAGAUCCAAGGAUAAGGGAGGUCUGGGUAUCAAAGAUCCGCGUAAACAAAACAUUAGCUUAAUGGUUAAAUGGUGGUGGAAACUUGAAACGCAAAAAGGACUCUGGCAGGAUAUUGUCCGGGCCAGAUACCUUCGCAACAAAACUGUUACGGAUGUUACUGCCAGAUUUUCUGACUCACCUUGCUGGAAAUCUUUGCUAAAAGUAAAAAAUGUAUAUAUGUUGGGCAGAAAAAUAGAAACAAAAAAGGAGACAUCACUAGGCUGUGGAAAGACUCGAUUAAUGGGUCUCCUUCUCUUCAGGAUCAAUUCCCUCAGUUGUUUGAUAUCUGUGGUUUUCCAGAUUGUAAUGUGA
rnacentral:rRNA from 1 species